GCGGGCUCUGCCCGCUCGCCUGCUCGCCUGGUGGGGGAGAGGGGAGCGGGGCCGACACAGGACUGCAGUUGACAGCAGAUAACUGAAAGCUCGGAAAGCGAAACCGUGGAUAAGCAGGGGAACUGUGGCAUCCCAUUUAAAAUUGCUUCUGAAGAGAAGCAUGAGGUUACAUCUGUAAUCUCCCUGCAGCAGAGUCAACUGCAUAAGAAACCAAAAGACACACCUGCUCCAUGCCAGGUCUGUUCUGAAAAAUUGAGAAGAUGAUCUAUCUUCACUUCAAAAAGAAAUCUCUAAGGAGCAAGUGGACACAGCCUGCCUCCCAUAAGCUGUCUGGCUCACUCAUUUUAUUCCUGGAAAUCAGAAGUCAAUCAUUUCCUGAGAAAUGAGGAAAAAGAUGGAGGUCACAGAGACCAGUAAGAGCAAGGAGGGAGAGGAAAAAGCUGAACAUGAAACUCGAGGAAGAAACAGAAUAUGCAGAGGAAUAAAAAAAGCUGACGGAAAACUCAACAAGUGGGGACCUCCCCUGAAAUGAUAGGAAAGAAUUUAACCUCAUGGCAUAAAAACAACUCAUGAAUGGUGUUUGGAUGAAAAGGUUAUGCGGGAGUCAAAUGUUUGAAGGGGCUCAGGUACUUACUAAAAUCCUGGCCAGAAAUCUUCAUAGAAAUGUACUCAUGGUGAAGAGUUCCUUCUCACCUGCAAACCCCCUUCUACUCUGCUCAUUCAAAACUGGUUUGCAACUUGAAGCUGUGAAGGUCUUGCUACUCAAAGUGUGGUCCCUGGACAUGCUCACUGUUAGAAAUGCAGAUUCUCAGGCCCCACCCUAGACCUGAUGAGUUAGAAGCUAACCUCUGCGAACAUGGACAUUUGAGAAGCACUGCUCCAUGUCACUGAGCCCUCCCUGGAGGAAACAUGAUAUUCACCCCACGAAGACCACCUUCCUCAUGAUGCCCUCUGCCCUCCAGAAAAAUAACAUAUACACUGCCCAUGUUAUUUGAGAGAUAUUUCCUGUGUGAGUAUACACUUUUCUGGAACUGAAGACCUGUCUAUUCACACGGCCCUUAUCUGAGCAGACUUUGGGACAAGCAUUGGGGUGCAAUUAGUUUGUAUGGGCAGUGAUCUCAGGGAGCUCCAGGAGAGGGUAGUGAAGUGUGUCAUCAACGGGUGAGAAAGCUGGGGCAUCUAUCCAUCUCACCGGUCUCUCCUUGGUAGAAAACUGUACUGGGGACGUUAACUAUCCUGCACUUCCAGCCCUCCUGACUCGGGUGCAGCACACUCCUGUAGCCAGAGAAAGUUCCUAACCAGAGAAACAGUUCGCCUAUGGCGAACUGUCAUAGGCGGCCUCCAGGGUGGGUGGAGGGGACAUGGAGGGUGUUGACAGCAUCUCUCCCACAUCCUCUCCCUCUGCACAAGCAACUGGGCUGGUGGAGCUGUGGACUGAGAACAGAGGCCAGGGGCAGCUACUGCUGAACUUCCUUUGGCUGAAGAUGAAGGGAUGGGGCCUGAGAGGACCUCUUCCUAGUCUAGCACCUUCAGAGUGUAUCUCCACAGAUCAACCUGUCAGCUCAUGGAGCCCUGUCUCAGGGGGCAGCAGCUUACUAAUCUCUUCCCUCGGGUUGGCACAUCCACUUUGCUACUCCUGGGUACAUCUCAGGACUCUUCUUAAAGAACUGGUAUCCACUUCUAGGAUGAUCCUUCCUCCCUUUCUCUUUGUUGCUUCAACAGGUCAGCUCCAAUCUCCUCUUACCUAGACCAGCACAAAACGGCCUCCUGGUGGAUGCCUUGCACACACCUCUCUCCCCUGAUAUGUUCUGCAAACUGCCACAGAUGAAUCCCAAUAUGACACUUUGUUUUUGCUAAAAAGCCUUCAAAGGUUGUUAACAAGCAACAUUCUUCAUUGGUUCUUAACUGGGGGUGUGCACUGGAACCACCUGGGAGCCAGAGAUGCCACACCCAGCUGUGCAGGCUGAUCACUGCAUAGAAGACCUGGCUGCUCUCACCAAGCCCUUCACCUUGGCAUGAGUCUCUCCAAUUUGCAUAACAGUGCUGGAAAGGUGACGAUGACAAUCCUAUGAAAAGCUUUGUAAAAAAGACCCAGAUGCAGGCCCCUCUGUGUGGCCGCAGAAUCAAUGCAUGUGGCGUCGGCAUGCAUUUGCUGAAAGCUCCCCAGGUGGUUCUGAUGGACAAUCAAGUUAAAAACCCUCAAAAGUGAAACUGCAUUGAAAUUCUCUGGUGGGCUUGUUAAAGAUGCAGAUUGCAGGCCCCAGCCUCCAGAGUGGGAUUCUUUACAGCAGAAGCAGAGUCAGGAAACCUGGAUCUUGAAUCAUCUGAGGCAAGUGUUCUACACUAGCCUUUGAAACACUGGUCCCAAGAGCUAAUGUAGCCACUGCCAUUUUUGAAGUUAAGAGAUUGAGACCUAGAGUAUGUGAGAAAAAAAAUGCCUUCUCUGGGAUUCUUAUGCUGGUGAGGACUGAGGAACCCUGGUAUUAUGGUCCUCUCUGUCUUUGAGUCAGUUGUCUGGAGCCUCCUAUGUCAUGUGCCUCUGGGGCAGGGACUCAGAGAAAUGAACUCUGCAGACCAUGGCUGGCUCCAACAUGGGUGCCUACCUGCUGUGCUCCCAGAGGAAGCCCAUCUACUCGUUCAACAAGUGUUUCUUAUUUUGUCUCAAAUGGGAAACAGCUUCUACACAAUAAUUCUCAUGUGUGAGACACGUAUGUUUUCUGUUACAUCUUACAUUCCUUUGUUCAUGCUCUCAUUUAAUAAUUACUGAGUAGCCUCAGUGUCCUUUGUUGGGCCAUAUGCCUUUGUAACACAGUUCCUGCUGUCUCCAAGGAGAAGUUCCCAGCCUAGGAGGAAGAAGAAGAACUGGUUCAAGGAAAGACACUUAUCAUCUCACAUGAUGAAUGCAUGGGGGUGCUGUUGCACCAGGGGCUGAAACUGGCCUCCCUUUACCAGAGAAGCAUUGGCUGUCCCCAUUCCCACCCCACAGGUCGUAUUUUACAGCUCAUUGUUAUUACCAUUGUUUUACCUUUCAACUAACUAAAA
rnacentral:misc_RNA from 1 species